UCCCAGGCGGUAGCGGGGGCGCUGGUGCUGUUGCCCUUUUAAGCUGCGGCUUGACGGAGCCGCGCCUCCUGUCGGUGGAGUCGGUUAUAAAGGGAGCAGCCCCCCAGGCCGCCACACAGCUCCCGCCAAGUCCUCGGUGUCCCUUGCCAUUUUCCAGCAGCGCUCCCACGAGGGUCACCGCCGCGGGGAGAGGUGGAGCCGCGAGAGCUCGGCCGGGGGCCCCGCCGGGUGGUCGCGGCCAUGACAGCGGCUCGGGACAGGCUCCUUUUCCGCGCCCCUCCCGCCUGAGAUGAGGGAAAGAUGUCCCUGUCAGCGUUCAAGGCCAAACUGAAGUUGCCGGCCUCUAUCUUCCACGAGAACCAGGAGCCACAGCCGCGGCUCACGCUCCACCGCAACAUCAAGAUUACAAGUGGACACCUGAGUCAGCAGGACCUGGAAUCCCAGAUGAGAGAGAGCUUAUCUACAUGGACUCAGAUCUUGUUGUCACCCCCAUUAAUGACAAUCCAAGGGUACAGAAAGCACUCUAACAACUGAGUUGUAGACUUUACUGAGAUCUGAAAUCUGCAUGAGAUUUUCAUUCAGAAUAUUAUUUACUGUCUAAUCUUUCCUUUUCUCUUGUCUGCUUCUGUUUCAUUUGUGCUGCAUGUCUGCAUUUCCAGGUCCCGCUCUGUCUGCAACGCUUUCCUCUGCCUUCACUUCCACUUCACUGGAGUUCUAAGUUUUCUCCCCUCUGUUUUGAAUGAGUCAGCUCUGCCUCUCACUACUGCUUUCUUCCACAUGCCACGGAGGGGUUGCCAGCCUCUUGACCUCAGACCUUAGCUCUCAGUCCCAUCGUUUCUCCAUCUGCACUAAUGUGAAUCACUCUAAGUAUUCUAGUCUCUGACGUAUUUUGAAGGCAGAAGCAGUCAGAGGGCACUGCUCACCAGGCUGGGCUGGGCAGGCAGAUCACACGGAAGCCCUGCCCUCUCACAGGUUGUUAAGACUGCAUGGGAGAUGGUGAGGAGACACUAUGGGAGCUGGAGGAGUCACGGUUCACAAUGUACUUCUAAACCACUGUAAUGAAAAAACCACCAUCAGUUAAAUUUGAUCCAAAAAUAUUGCAUCUACCAGCAUUUUCAGUGGAUAAGUUAUAAUUUCUGAAAGACCAAGAUUGGAAUGACUUUUUUGCAACAAGUGUGCUCACAGAUCGACUCCAUUGCGAAGAGCUCGAGGACCUCCUGAGCCAAGCUUAAUCUCCUUUGCUGUUUGUGCGUGGUGGCUGGUCACCAGGAGGUGGCCACCAGGCUUCUCCAUUCCCCACUG